GCGUAAGCGCGCGCAGGCGGUUCCUUAAGUCUGAUGUGAAAUCCCCCGGCUCAACCGGGGAGGGGCAUUGGAAACUGGGGAGCUUGAGUGCGGAAGAGGAUGGCGGAAUUCCCUGUGUAGCGGUGAAAUGCGUAGAUAUGUGGAGGAACACCAGUGGCGAAGGCGGCUUUCUGGUCUGUUACUGACACUGAGGCGCGAAAGCGUGGGGAGCAAACAGGAUUAGAUACCCUGGUAGUCCACGCCGUAAACGAUGUCUGCUAACCGUUGGAAGGCU
rnacentral:rRNA from 1 species